rnacentral:tRNA from 1 species
GCCUGGCUGGCUCAGUUGGUAGAGCAUGUGACUCUUGAUCUCAGGUUUGUGAAUUCAAGCCUCAUGUGGGGGG